CGCUCAUCCAGAGGGGCAGAGGGACACGGCCCGAUGAAGCCCCGGCAACCCCCCUGAGCCGAACUCGUCUCCGCGAGGCUCCAGGCCAGGGAAGGUGCCAAAUCCGUCUCACGGCGAGGUGCGUCGUGAGGAAGAUGAGGA
rnacentral:ncRNA from 1 species